rnacentral:rRNA from 1 species
GUCAGCCGCCGCGGUAAUACCUGCAGCCCGAGUGGUGGUCGAUUUAUGAGUCUAAAGCGUUCGUAGCCGGUCCGUUAAAUCCUUGGGUAAAUCGGGAAGCUCAACUUUCCGACUUCCGAGGAGACUGGCGGACUUGGGACCGGGAGAGGCCAGAGGUACUUCUGGGGUAGGGGUAAAAUCCUGUAAUCCUAGAAGGACCACCGGUGGCGAAGGCGUCUGGCUAGAACGGAUCCGACGGUGAGGGACGAAGCCCUGGGUCGCAAACGGGAUUAGAUACCCCCGGUAGUCCAGGGUGUAAACGCUGCCGACUUGGUGUUGGGGCCCUUCGGGGGAACUCAGUGCCGGAGAGAAGUUGUUAAGUCGGCCACUUGGGGAGUACGUCCGCAAGGAUGAAACUUAAAGGAGUUGGGCGGGGGAGCACCGACCGAACGGGAGGAGCGUGCGGUUUAAUUGGAUUCAACACCGGAAAACUCACCAAGGGCGACUGUUACAUGAAAGCCAGGCUAAUGACCUUGCUUGAUUUUCAGAGGAGUGGUGCAUGG